UACGUAGGCAGCAAGCGUUGUUCGGAAUUACUGGGCGUAAAGCGUGUGUAGGCGGUUGGGUAAGUCUGGUGUGAAAUCUCCCGGCUCAACUGGGAGGGUGCGCCGGGAACUGCCCGGCUGGAGUGCGGAAGAGGAGAGUGGAAUUCCCGGUGUAGCGGUGAAAUGCGUAGAUAUCGGGGAGGAACACCUGUGGUGAAGACGGCUCUCUAGACCGCAACUGACGCUGAGACACGAAAGCGUGGGUAGCAAACAGG
rnacentral:rRNA from 1 species